AAGCAGCAUCAACGUUCGAUGGGAUCCAGUCAGCUCCCAUCUCCAUCACGGGAACCUGUGCUGCCAACACCAACAUGUGCAGCGAUUCUGCAACAGCUCAAACAUGCAUUGGCGAUGCAGGAGGCCCACUGAUAUGCCCUGACCAGACAGGUCAGCUGAUUACAGCUGGACUUGUUGCCGACAUGCCGCCAGUGUGUUCCGGCCCUCCAGAGUUCAUCAGUCUCUUGCCUGAUACAUUCGACUCCUCUGUACUCCCAGCUUAUUAAAUACACUCCGUGUCA